CUAAGCGGAGGAAAAGAAACUAACCAGGAUUUCCUUAGUAGCGGCGAGCGAACAGGAAAGAGCCCAGCACCGAAUCCCGCGGUUCCGCCGCAGGGAAAUGUGGUGUUUGGGAGGGUCCGCUUAUCCCGAGGCGUCGCGUCGCGUCCAAGUCCAUCUUGAAUGGGGCCACUUACCCGCAGAGGGUGCCAGGCCCGUAGCGACCGAUGCCCGUCUCGGGAGGAUCUCUCCUUAGAGUCGGGUUGCUUGAGAAUGCAGCUCUAAGUGGGUGGUAAACUCCAUCUAAGGCUAAAUACGACCACGAGACCGAUAGCGAACAAGUACCGUGAGGGAAAGUUGAAAAG
rnacentral:rRNA from 1 species